rnacentral:rRNA from 1 species
AUGAUCUUAUUCCCUGCAGGUUUGAUAGAUAGUUUGCCUGUUACUCCAAAGACCUUGAACAUAUUAUCUAAAGAACUCCCUGUUUGUGGAAAGCUUGCUGUAUCUUGUAUCAUUAUCUCAAGCAGGCCCUCAGUUUACACAAGUGAGUUUAAUCGCUGCCCUCUUUUGCUGUCAUUCUGUUGUCUUUCCUUCAGCUAA